UCAAGGAACCACUUGCUUACUGGAAACCAGCGUGUGAGAUGGCCCAAACCAGGGGAAAUCUUUCUACGUGUGCGCAGCUCGCCAGGGUACACCUUGCGGUUUCACUCAUCCUGCAGACAUUCCUCCCUCUCACUGUUUGCACCAUGAAGACUCUGUAGUUGAACUCCAGGCUCUGAUUAAGUCUGUCGACAAAUCCCAGCGCUACAGGCUGUACUUCCGUUGUGCGCGGUGAAUGAAGAAGGGGCAGAAGUG